AAACAAUAAUAACAAUAAAUUAUAGUACAAAUAAUAAUGCAAUGCCCAAAUACGAACACAGAAUAUAGGGGGCAGGCAACCUGUCACAUUUGCCCUACGGCCACCUACCCCCAUAAAGUCCCAAAUGUCUUUGUUAAACUGAUGAGUUGGGGAUGGAGGCUGUCUUGGGCCCACAAGCAACAAUAGUCUGGUGACCCCGGGUAGUGGCAAUCCACUAAUGAUCCCAGGCAAAGGCAGGCCAGCAACAUCACGGAACACUGAUGCAAGGCAGGCAGCAACUACGGGCGAUGGUGCGGAGCUGGCGGCACCCCAAAGCAGUGGGCAUAGGCAGCAUCCCCAGGCAGUGGCGCGCAGACGGCAUCCCCAGGUGAUGCAGAGCCGGCGACCCCAGGCUAUCCGUCCUCGGUCAGCAGUGGAGAGAGGUGACGUUGGAGUUGGCCCUUUCAGGUUUUGGCAGAACCUAGCAUUUCUCGGUUAGUGCAUCACCUCCCUGGUUCUUCUCUAAGGGUGGAGGGAUAGGCAGCUCUGACAUCUCUCCUUCUGGUGGUGGAGGCAGAAACUGUUUUCUCACCUCUCCUACUGGUAGCUCCUACGCUACUCCCUCUGAGGGUGAUGACCAAGACAGCAGGGUGCCAUAACCUGGUGAUGCCAACAUAGACAACAAGACGUUCUUUCCGAACAUUGGGAACCUCAUGACGUCCUUCCCAUGCGACAGCGACAGGAACCUCAAGACUUCUUCCCCAGGCACUGGCAGUGUAACCUUCAGGACCUCUCUCUCGGCCAAUGAUUGGCCCAGCAACCGGUCUCCUCCUGGCGGUGAAGACAAGAAUAACUGGCAGUCUCCACCGGGCAGUGGAUACAGGCACGGCAGGCAGUCUUCACCUGCCAGCGGACACAGGCAUGGCAGGCAGUCUUCACCUGCCGAUAGCGAUAAACACAGCAGACAGCUUUCCCUCAGUGCUGGAGACUGCUGGGCUUUUCCCUCAGGCACUGGAGACUGGGGUGGUUCCUUCUUCAGCACUGGAUGCUGAGGCUUUUUCCCUCCUGGGCACUGGUUGCACUGGUCCUCUCCUCUGGGCACAGUGGCACCACAGACACUUUCCCUCUGGGCACUGGACUCAUUAGCUCCUUCCUUGUGGGCACUGGACACACUGGCUCCUUCUUCGGGCGUGGCAACUCGGGCUUCCUCUUCUUGAACACUGGACACUUGGGCUCAUCCCUCGUGGGCUCUGUAGUAAGCACGGCACCGCCCGAUAAAACUGGAAAUGGUGGAGCCCCUCCCAUGUCUGCAGCCAGGUAAUUAAACAGCAUGGCUGCAAUGUCCUGGAAGGACUCUGGGUGGUGCUGCUUCUCCCAAGCUUCCCACCAUUUACCAUCUCGAGCUCACAGGACAUUAAUCGCCACUGGGAGGUCCCUCUUCAUGUCCGCCUCUAGUUCCACCAGCCAAUCCCAAAUCUGUCGUGAGGUCAGCUGCUCUGGCAGCACCGGUGGCACUUUUCCCUGCGCUGGGGCUACACCUUCUGGCCGGGUGCUGCAUCUAGUGAGACGUGUCAGGGCUCACCCUUCAGGCAAACCCAGCAAACUUCACCCUGUUGCUGCUGCUUCUGCUGCUGCUUUCAUCCCGUUAUUCUUCAAAAGCAAAACUCAUUAGUUUAAAAAGAAACACCUGCGACUUUCAGUUUUGUUCUGUUCUCCCCCAAGAAUGUUUGUUUAUUUACCAAAUACUAACAACGCAUCAAGAUACUACCAAAUUGAUGAUACAAUUAAAACAAUAAAGCCUUUCAUAAAUUAAAAGAUUUCCUUCUAGGGUAGUGGUUCUCAAACUUUUUGGACCUCGCCCCCUCUUCCUAUUGUCUGUGGUACUUACUGUAAUUAAUUAUUUGUUUGGUUCUACUGGAAAGAGUGGUACCCACAAAACCGAACACGUCCUCAUGUUAAUACUUAUCAAAAUACUGUCACAGGUUACAUUUAUAGAUGUGUGGGGAAAAAAAAGUUCUGACAAAGUUUCGUGGCAACUAGGCUUGUUUCAAGUGUAUCCCACGUGAAUUAUUAAAGGUCUUUUCACAUUAUGGCACAAAUAAAAAAGUCUGUUUGUAUUUUGGAAUACUCUGCCUCUAUCUCUCUGUGUUCUGUCAAAGAUGUUGUUUGGUUCUGUUGUCUUGAGUAACAAUCACAACUUCCUGUUGCUGUUGUCGGUGCCUGUUUGACGCUGACAAUGGGGGUGUCGCCCAUGAGUGUACAUGGCAAACGUGAGCCAUCUCAGGGACCGCUGUGUUGACAGUAGACUCUGGAGCAGGCUGCUUUUAGGACAGCUGAACCUGGGACUGCUGCGUUUACACCAGAAAAAAAGACCUAUGCCAUCUCAGAGUCAGCUUUAAAGUGGCUGGUGUAAACAGAGAUUUUGGAGUAUUCUACAGAUGGGGAAGGUAUAGCGAGCAGGUCCCUGACUGCUGUUAGUUCACCCCGGAAGAUUCUGCCAAAAAGAAGCAUUACAGGAUGAAGACAUUUGCUGCAGUCGAGGAGCAGACAACAUCUGAAGAGUCUCGUCUAUUAUUCAACCCCUCAUCACCUUCACCUGUGACUAUCAAAGAAAUAGA